rnacentral:rRNA from 1 species
GACGAACGCUGGCGGCGUGCUUAACACAUGCAAGUCGAACGGAAAGGCCCUGCUUUUGUGGGGUGCUCGAGUGGCGAACGGGUGAGUAACACGUGAGUAACCUGCCCUUGACUUUGGGAUAACUUCAGGAAACUGGGGCUAAUACCGGAUAGUAGCUCCUGCUGCAUGGUGGGGGUUGGAAAGUUUCGGCGGUUGGGGAUGGACUCGCGGCUUAUCAGCUUGUUGGUGGGGUAGUGGCUUACCAAGGCUUUGACGGGUCGCCGGCCUGAGAGGGUGACCGGCCACAUUGGGACUGAGAUACGGCCCAGACUCCUACGGGAGGCAGCAGUGGGGAAUAUUGCACAAUGGGCGGAAGCCUGAUGCAGCAACGCCGCGUGCGGGAUGACGGCCUGCGGGUUGUAAACCGCUUUCGCCUGUGACGAAGCGUGAGGGACGGUAAUGGGUAAAGAAGCACCGGCUAACUACGUG